AACGAACGCUGGCGGCAUGCCUAACACAUGCAAGUCGAACGAAGGCUUCGGCCUUAGUGGCGCACGGGUGCGUAACGCGUGGGAAUCUGCCCUUUGGUUCGGAAUAACAGCUGGAAACGGCUGCUAAUACCGGAUGAUGACGAAAGUCCAAAGAUUUAUCGCCAGAGGAUGAGCCCGCGUUGGAUUAGGUAGUUGGUGGGGUAAAGGCCUACCAAGCCGACGAUCCAUAGCUGGUCUGAGAGGAUGAUCAGCCACACUGGGACUGAGACACGGCCCAGACUCCUACGGGAGGCAGCAGUGGGGAAUAUUGGGCGCUGGGCGCAAGCCUGGUCCAGCAAUGCCGCGUGAGUGAUGAAGGCCCUAGGGUUGUAAAGCUCUUUUACCCGGGAAGAUAAUGACUGUACCGGGAGAAUAAGCCCCGGCUAACUCCGUG
rnacentral:rRNA from 1 species